rnacentral:rRNA from 1 species
AACGAACGCUGGCGGCAUGCCUAACACAUGCAAGUCGAACGAGACCUUCGGGUCUAGUGGCGCACGGGUGCGUAACGCGUGGGAACCUGCCCUUAGGUUCGGAAUCACUCCCCGAAAGGGGUGCUAAUACCGGUUAAUGUCUUCGGACCAAAGAUUUCUCGCCUUUGGAUGGGCCCGCGUUGGAUUAGCUAGUUGGUAGGGUAAAAGCCUACCAAGGCGACGAUCCAUAGCUGGUCUGAGAGGAUGAUCAGCCACACUGGGACUGAGACACGGCCCAGACUCCUACGGGAGGCAGCAGUGGGGAAUAUUGGACAAUGGGCGAAAGCCUGAUCCAGCAAUGCCGCGGGAGUGAUGAAGGCCUUAGGGUUGUAAAGCUCUUUUACCCGGGAUGAUAAUGACAGUACCGGGAGAAUAAGCUCCGGCUAACUCCGUG